GCUGUAUAUCAAUAUUAAUAACUUUCCAAAUGAAGUGAGAUGGCGUUUAAGUCGAGAACCAAAUGCCUUGGUGGUGGAUGCCGUGUAUUUUAAGAAAGCUAGAAAAAUACAUCAUCUUUGUAAUAAUAACAGUUUUUAUGUUUUUCCCUGAGGCCAUAAACUGGUAUCCUGUAACACACCACGCGAAAGCCCCUUUCUCUCCAUCAGUGUCCAUACUUCAAGGUCACAUGAGUAAACACAAGUAGAGAUGAUUGUUACCGGCAAUUAAAAGAAGAAAAGAAAGAAGAAAAAAGGCAAUACAGUCGUAAAAGAUCCAUAACCACAACCGCACUGUCCAGUCAAAUCCCAUCUUCAUCACAACUGGCCGUCCUGUUGUUAAAACAAAAUAAAGCAAAGCGCACGCAGACGGACGCGUGGAAAAGAAAAAUGGUUCUGAUCUGCCCGCCAUAUGGACUGUGUUAUCACUUUUCUGGAGCCCUGACUGCUCAAACUGCAGAGUGGAAGGGAGUCGUGUCGCACGGCGCCAGCGAAGCCGGGAACGUCUGUCAAAAGUCUUGUUUGGAG